GUGGGUUGUUCCGUCAGUUGCUGGAUAUGAGCCGUGGCACAGGACGUCUGCAAUCAAUUGAGCCGUGGCACAGGAUGGUGCAUCGGGACGUGCGGCGACAUGUAGUUUCUCCGACGACCGCAGAUGGAAUCGAACGGAUUGGAGUUCUUACUCGAUCCGGUAGAUAGGUUUACUCUGAGAUCUAAGGGAGGAGUUCGCCGACAGCUUGCAGCAGCCGGAUCCUGAGCUCCUGGCGCUGCUCCCACGGGGUGCAGCCGAAUCCUCGGCUGGAGGCUGGAGCUGAAUUUUGUGGCGCCACCGGGUGUGCGCUCAGUGCAGGACUUCAGACGGAAAGCGGAUAAGAAGUGCGGCGAAGGAAGAAUGCAUCGUUGACGCAGUCGGUUCAGUCCACGGGGAAGGUGAAGCCGGAAGGACCGGGCUGGACGAAGAGGUAACUUGGUUGCUGCUCGUAUCUCUGAACCACGGAUUCUGUAGAGUGUGUGCUGACUGCUGAGUAGAAUUGCACUCUGGUGCAACGUGUUCCAGCAAAGGAGUAUAUUGUCAUGCUUGGGGUGCAGCAAAAUAAAUAUACCAUAUUUCGUGGUUUGCUUACUCCUGAUUUAGGCUUGGUUUGUUAACUGUAGAAAUGGUUUCAGGCUUUGCCUUGGUAGUGCACCUCCAGACAGAAUUCCCUGAGCUUCCCGAAUGAACGCUCAUGAGCAAUCGAUCAGGAAAUAUGCAGAGGAACCAUCAGACUGUAAUUAGGCCGGAACUGGGAAUUAGUUCCAACUCGCUGUGUGAGACAUGUGACUUCUACAACAUGUAUUCUUCAGAGAUAGGGUUUGAUAUACGUUAUGGGAGGAGCAGACUAAACCCAGAGAUGACUAAAUCCAUGCAGGAGAUUGUUUGCGGGUGUUCGGCGAGUCUUGCGUACUUUGUUGCUAAAUUAUGUCACUAUUUGUAAGUGCAUCCUAGAGUAUGGAUCUAGUGGUGUUCCAAUUUGUUUAUGCAAGGGAAGCUAGAGGCACAGAACAGGCUGUCUUGCAGAUCAGACUGUUCCUCUGUUGUUCCAAUUUGUUCGUACUUUUGUUGCUGAAUUUGUUUAUACUGGACCAAUCUGUAGGACAUGCUGUCCGACCUUUUUUGUAGGAGUGAACAAUCAUUUUCAGAGCAUUAUAUUGGUUGGAUUUUUUAUGAGGGUUGAGCAAGUCGAGAGUCUUGAGUGGGUAUUUUCUGAGUUCCUAAAUACGAUGGGCAGGUUGGUGCCGAAGUCCAUCGUCACAGAUCAAAACAGAGUCAUGGAGGUAGCUAUCAGCAAAGUAUAUCCAGGGAAAUGAACAACUGUAGCUCACCUUACUGGUAGGUCUGCUCUUAAUAUUUAUUAUUUCAUUGCUUGCAGUUCUUUCGUUAGAUCUGUUGUGUGGUUAUACAAUGUGUAUGUGUAUUUGAGGAAAAUGAAAAUUGACUGCAAGUGAAGUCUUGGAUAUGUUUAGCUCAAAUUUGCUGAACUGAGCACUGGCGUAUUGGCCGAAGAGUUCAGUCCUUUAAAUUGUUUCUGAAAAUAGUUAGAACUAAAAGAUCGCCUUCAUUUAAUAAUGAUUUCGAGAGUACUGUUGUUUUUAACAAUACUAGUUUAGCAGCAUGUUAUGUUGUCAUGCACUUUUUGGAAACAGUUCCUUGGUGACCUAGGAACACUAGAAGCUGGAGAGAACGGAGAAGCCCAGUUUUUAGGAUCAAAAGAGAAACUGAAAGUUGUGGACUUGAUCGGUCGCUCUAUUGCGUUGUACGCGAGGGACAGAUGAGGCCUGGGCAUAGUCGCCAGAAGUGAGGGUGUUGGGAAGAACUACAAGAAGCUCUACACCUGCGAUGGUGUCACCAUUUGGAAAUCGAGCCAAAUUCACCGCCAUGGAAUUUUCACCCGCAAUAUGUUAUACACAGAAGUAAAUGUAGAAACAAGCAACCAGUUACUGAACAUUUGGAAAAAGCGUGAAUACAUUUGAUGAAUAAAGCUUGUUCUGAUGGAGCUUGCCAAUGGUUUUCUUCAGUAAAUGCUACUCAUGUGCUGCUGCUACGCAGCUGAUUCUUCAACCGUGCUUACGAAGGGGCCAGGGCCCAACUGUUUGCUCCCAGACCUCUGACUAAUACAGUAAUACUAGGAGAAGAGCUCAGAUUAGUGGCAGCCAUGAGAGAACCAGGGCAGGGCUCUCCGUACUCCGGCGUGUUCUGAGCGACCUUGGUUUUCAUUUUGAUCUUGUAGGCAAGUUUCUGGUUUGCACUGCUUAAGAGCAGGGUGCUCGGCUCGACGAUGACGUCCGUGCCUUUGAACUGUGUGACCUUGAUAUGGUAACCCGAGGACGGAUGGCCGACAUUUGUCACGGUGCGGCGCACCAGCAGGGUUGAUGGCUGGUCGGUGAAGACUGCGGAGAUGGCCUUGAGCUGAAUGUGUGCUUGUCUUUCAUGUUGGACUUCCUGGUGAAGGCCUUGAGCUGCUUCGGCGUCAGGUUCUGCGUGCGCAUGAGCUCCGAUCCAGUAGCCUGUAGCCGUACUGGCCAAUGUAAACCAGCCCGUGCUAGAAUGGCGUGGACGCCUCGCCGGUCGCCGCGUCCUUCAGCACACGGUAGGAGUUGUCGUGGCGUACGCGAUGGUCAUCCGCGCCGGGCUCUGGUCGGGAUGGAGCAGCGCGGCUACGCCGGCCGCGUUUGGACUCCCGUCACAGACCAGCGGCUCAGGCUAGCUCAGGAAAUGCUCCCGAAUGUGAUCCAAACGUCUGGUCCGGCUGCACCGUCGGGUCACCUAACCUUCAUAAUGACUGGCUGUAUUAUUUAUUUCCCAACCAUACGGUGUGGAUACGACCUAUAAUACAUGUGAAGCCUCGAAUCUCAAUGUGUAUGAGCGGCUGUGAUAUAGGGAGCAUCUGAGCCCGAGCUCAGAAACUGAUUUUCCUAUAUGGCAUUCAUAAAUAGAAAAGCAAUAUAUGGCAUGCACUUCAUAAAUAGAAAAGCAAGAACUAAGAAUAAAGAUGCAAGACGGUACGAGAGAAGGAUUGCCUUUUUUAAUUCUGGUGAGGUCCGUGGAGAGUUUGUCCACCUGCUCCUGAUUGUACUCCCAUGUUCAUGGAGCAGCGUCUGCCCUGGUCUAUCAUCAAUUGGAUGUGUCGUUCGUCGUCAUCUUGGUG